rnacentral:rRNA from 1 species
GACGAACCGAGCGAACGUUAUUCGGAAUCACUGGGCUUAAAGGGUGCGUAGGCGGGCCCGUCAGUCAGGGGUGAAAUCCCACGGCUCAACCUUGGAACUGCCUUUGAUACUGGGGAUCUCGAGUCCGGAAGAGGUUGGUGGAACUGCGAGUGUAGAGGUGAAAUUCGUAGAUAUUCGCAAGAACACCAGUGGCGAAGGCGGCCAACUGGUCCGGUACUGACGCUGAGGUGCGAAAGCGUGGGGAGCAAACAGG